UUCUGUUACCUGGAUGGUAGGAGAGCGUUCCGUAGGCCGGCGAAGGUGAUCCGUGAGGAUUGCUGGAGGUAUCGGAAGUGCGAAUGCUGACAUGAGUAGCGAUAAAGCGGGUGAAAGGCCCGCUCGCCGAAAGCCCAAGGUUUCCUGCGCCACGUUCAUCGGCGCAGGGUGAGUCGGCCCCUAAGGUGAGGACGAGAGUCGUAGCCGAUGGGAAGCGGGUUAAUAUUCCCGCACCGGCUUGGGAUGCGAUGGGGGGACGGAGAAGGUUAGCGUGGCCGGGUGUUGGACGUCCCGGUUCAAGCGUGUAGGCGUGCCGCGAGAGGCAAAUCCGCGUGGCUUAGCCGAGGCGUGAUGACGAAGGGUGGGCUUGUCCUGCCUGAAGUGCGUUGGCCCAGCUCCCAGGAAAAGCCUCUAAGCUUCAGUCCCAAGGCGACCGUACCGCAAACCGACACAGGUGGGCAGGAUGAAUAUUCUGAGGCGCUUGAGAGAACUCGGGUGAAGGAACUCGGCAAAUUUGCACCGUAACUUCGGGAUAAGGUGCGCCCCUGCCAGGUGAAGGUCCUUGCGACCGUAAGCCGAGAGGGGCCGCAGUGAAAUGGUGGCUGCGACUGUUUAACAAAAACACAGCACUCUGCUAACACGAAAGUGGACGUAUAGGGUGUGACGCCUGCCCGGUGCCGGAAGGUUAAGUGAUGGGGUGCAAGCCCUUGAUCGAAGCCCCGGUAAACGGCGGCCGUAACAAUAACGGUCCUAAGGUAGCGAAAUUCCUUGUCGGGUAAGUUCCGACCUGCACGAAUGGCGUAACGAUGGCCACACUGUCUCCACCCGAGACUCAGCGAAGUUGAAAUGUUUGUGAAGAUGCAAUCUCCCCGCGGCAAGACGGAAAGACCCCGUGCACCUUUACUGUAGCUUUGCAUUGGACUGUGAUGGGACCUGUGUAGGAUAGCUGGGAGGCGAUGAAGGGGGGGCGCUAGCUCUCCUGGAGCCAACCUUGAAAUACCAGCCUGGUGUCAUUGCGGUUCUAACCUAGGGCCAUCAACUGGCUCGGGGACCGCGCAUGGUAGGCAGUUUGACUGGGGCGGUCUCCUCCCAAAGAGUAACGGAGGAGCUCGAAGGUCGCCUAGGUACGGUCGGACAUCGUACUGAUAGUGCAAUGGCACAAGGCGGCUUGACUGCGAGGCUGACAAGCCGAGCAGGUGCGAAAGCAGGACAUAGUGAUCCGGUGGUUCUGUAUGGAAGGGCCAUCGCUCAACGGAUAAAAGGUACGCCGGGGAUAACAGGCUGAUACCGCCCAAGGGUUCAUAUCGACGGCGGUGUUUGGCACCUCGAUGUCGGCUCAUCACAUCCUGGGGCUGUAGCCGGUCCCAAGGGUAUGGCUGUUCGCCAUUUAAAGUGGUACGUGAGCUGGGUUCAAAACGUCGUGAGACAGUUUGGUCCCUAUCUGCCGUGGGCGCUGGAGAUUUGACGGGGGCUGCUCCUAGUACGAGAGGACCGGAGUGGACGCACCGCUGGUGUACCGGUUGUGACGCCAGUCGCAUUGCCGGGUAGCUACGUGCGGAAGCGAUAACCGCUGAAAGCAUCUAAGCGGGAAACGUGCCUGAAGAUGAGAUCUCCCGGGGACUCGAUCCCCCUGAAGGGUCGUGGCAGACCACCACGUUGAUAGGCUGGGUGUGGAAGGGCAGUAAUGCCUUAAGCUAACCAGUACUAAUGGCCCGUGCGGCUUGACCCC
rnacentral:rRNA from 1 species